rnacentral:rRNA from 1 species
CCUACGGGGGGCUGCAGUGGGGAAUAUUGGACAAUGGGGGGAACCCUGAUGCAGCCAUGCCGCGUGUGUGAAGAAGGCCCUCGGGUUGUAAAGCACUUUCAGUGGGGAAGAACGCCUGGUGGUUAAUACCCAUCAGGAAAGACAUCACUCACAGAAGAAGCACCGGCUAACUCCGUGCCAGCAGCCGCGGUAAUACGGAGGGUGCGAGCGUUAAUCGGAAUUACUGGGCGUAAAGCGCGCGUAGGUGGCUUGAUAAGCCGGUUGUGAAAGCCCCGGGCUCAACCUGGGAACGGCAUCCGGAACUGUCAAGCUAGAGUGCAGGAGAGGAAGGUAGAACUCCCGGUGUAGCGGUGAAAUGCGUAGAGAUCGGGAGGAAUACCAGUGGCGAAGGCGGCCUUCUGGACUGACACUGACACUGAGGUGCGAAAGCGUGGGUAGCAAACAGGAUUAGAUACCCGUGUAGUC